ensembl:lncRNA
AUCUGACUGGGAGAUCUCUGUAUCUGAGGCCUUCUGAAGAUGAAAUGCAUACAAAGAAAACUGAACUGAAGGACAUAGUGGAAGUCAACCAUGGAAAAGCCCUCAAGUGUUUCUAUUUCCUGGAUUUACUCUGAUGCGUAGCAUGUGGAUUCAGAAUAGCUCCACCAAAUACAGAGGAGAUGAGUGGCGUUUACUCUACUACAGAAGACUGAAGAGCAUAGGAUGUCAACAUGUCUCCACACGAGGAUGCAGAAAGAUAAGCUAGGCCCAAGAGAAGGCCACCUCAAGCCUUGGCACUGCUUGUGGUUCUUCUGUGGCCUUUGCCUGAACCAGAACUGAUCCUCACCUUCAGACCCAGGGAGGAGGACCUGUUCUGGCAGUGGGCAUCGGUCUCUUCCCCCAUGCCCAGAAAUCUUGGUGGAGGGCCAACUCCUGCAGCCUCUAUCCAUGCAUGAUGUGGACAGGAUCCCUGCAAAACCACUAGUGACAAAAUGUUGAGGCCAGUGAGUGAGGUAUAGUUUGUCCUGAGUGCCUUCCAGGUACAAAGAGAGCCCUAGUGUGUUGUAAUGGUGUUGGGUUUACAGCAUCCCCUAUCCCUCAGCAAUGGGCUUGAAGUGCCAUUUGAAGGUUCUGUUUGAUAUCAGUUACUUGCAUACCCCCAUACAGUCAGCAGAAAGCUUUCAGAACUACCAACUGUGUGAACAAGGAGCUUUACUUAGUGCAAACACAUGGUGAUGGCAGGUCUUUCCCGCUCCCUCUCUAAGGCAGGUAUUCUAUUGGCUGAUAACUAAGCUAAAUAUUAUUGAAGAUGUUCAUAUUGCAUUAUACUGUUUCUGCUGUGUGCUAUGACAUAUAUUGAGGCUACUUAAAAAAAAAAAAAGAAAAAGCUGUGAUGUCUACCACAAAGCAUUUAAAUCUUCUCGGAUCCCAAGAGAUUAUGAGAAACCAGAGAAGUGUGAUGGUUCUUUUAAUAGCAGUAAAACUCUAAUUUCAAUUUUAUGGAUUUUUUAUCAUUUCAAAGUGCUCAUUUUGCACUUAAAUCACAUUUUCUUUUUCUCCAAAAUCACGAGCAGUAAAAUCUGCUUUAAAACAUUGAAAAUGCUGAAGAAGGAAAAUGAAGGCAGAAAUCUCAAUUGAUUCAAUGUUGUUGGACUUGAAACACCAAAUAUUAUAAUAGAUGGUUUAUGAAAGGCAAAAAUGCUAUUCUGGUUUCUUUGGAAUAAAAGAAGUGUCAUUGAAUGAUAGAUACCUCACAUUUUACUAAAAUAAUACUUUACCUUCCAUUCAAGAAAGAAAAAAUAUAUAUCAAUUAACUAUGAUUAUUUCAAUUGUGUUUGAUUAUUUUUCCAUUUUCAUUGGAGAAAUUAGUGUAUUUUUCCAUAUAUUGUUUAUCCUAAAAGAUUGUCUUCAACAUGAAAUAACUUUGUAAGUGGUGAUUAAGCCAAGUGACUGACUCUGAAGUACCAGAGAAGAAUUAACCUGUGGCAAAACAUAUGUGAUUGUGUUAAACUAUGACUUCUAAUUUCAAUUACUAGAAAGCCUUUUUGGAACCUUAGUCUUGUGGUCUGAGACAAUUUCUAUCUUUCUGUAGUAGUAUAACAUAAACCACGUGUUUAGACCUCAAAAAUCUUUCCAUAUAUUUUGUUUUGUUUCUAUCUUUAUUUCUAAGUCACUGUCAUUGAGAAGCAGUCAAUCUUUAGUAUAAACUCUAUGAUAUAUUGUUUAUACAGCUGGAUCAAAAAAGCUUGUGACUUUCAGGCUGUUAUAUCUGUCUUCUCCAGGACUACAGGAUAUAAAUAAACAUAGAAAAUUUAGUUCGUAUACGGUAAUAAAAAGUCCCAUAUCUUGACUUCUGUAUUUUGCUAAUAAAAGGUAGGAAAGAACAUUAAAUAUGUAUGGAAAUUUCAGUUCUAAAUUGAAAGCUUUAUUUCUUGAUGCCCUGAUAGGCUUCUUAUGAUUAUUACAUAUGUGAACACACAGAAAUAAUGCUGAAUUACUGAAUUCAAAUGUAAAAUACAUUUCUUUGGUUAUACAUCACUGAUAGAAAUGAAAAUACAGUGAAGGGAAGGAGGACUGUACAUGUUGGAAGAAGCCAUUACCUAUAUUAUCUUUAAGUCUUGAUAUACCUUUUUUCCCCGUGAACCUUUGAUUCUUCUGCUUUCUUAGGUCUUAUUUGUCAACAGAAGGCUUUGUUCCCCAUGCUGGAUAGUCAUACAACUAUGUAAAAAUAAUAAUAAUAAAAAAAUAGAAUAAUAGGAACAAAAAAAAAAUAGGAUGCUACCGGUGGGUGAGGAGGGAUAAUUUUAUGGCUGGAGUGAUAUAUAUUUACAUGCGUUUGUUUUAAGCAAUAUAAAUAAGCGGAUAAGUAGAAGUCAUAAAUGUGUAAUACCUGGAACAUAACUACUAUUGUUUGUUUGGCAAAUACACAUUAUGACCACAAAUACCAUCUUUCUGACAAAUCUUCCAAGUAUAACUAGCCCUGGAGAGUGAUAACUAUACAGCUGUUCCUCUUGCAUAAGCAAAGUUCAAAUUUGUUUCCAUAGAGGCGGUUAUAGAAGAGCUAAUAAAUACAAAUAUGUAUAAAAUGCUAUAAUUUUCUAGCAGUGAGAACAAAGAAAAUAUCUGAAAU